rnacentral:rRNA from 1 species
ACCUGCUCAAUGAUGUACACAUUAAAUAGCCGCAGUAUUUUAACUGUGCAAAGGUAGCAUAAUCAUUUGUCUUUUAAUUGAAGGCUUGUAUGAAUGGUUGGAUGAGGGAAUAACUUUCUUUACAUUAAAAAUUAAAAUUUAAUUUUUAGGUUAAAAAGCUUAAAUUUAAAAAUGGGACGAGAAGACCCUAUAGAAUUUUAUUAUGAAUGGUAAGUUUAAUUUUUUGGUUAUGUUUAAUUAAAUUAAUUAUUUAUAAUUUUGUUGGGGUGACAGUAAGAUUUGAUUAACUCUUAUAAUUUUUAUUUAUUUAUUAAUAUUUUAAAGAUCCUAUUUUAAGGAUAGCUAGAUUAAAUUACCUUAGGGAUAACAGCGUAAUUUCUUUGGAGAGUUCUUAUCAAUAAAGGAGUUUGCGACCUCGAUGUUGGAUUAAAAUAAGAAUUAAGUGCAGAAGCUUAAUGUCUAAGUCUGUUCAACUUUUAAUAUUUUACGUGAUCUGAGUUCA